AAAUGCGAUAAGUAAUGUGAAUUGCAGAAUUCAGUGAGUCAUCGAAUCUUUGAACGCACAUUGCGCCCGCCAGUAUUCUGGCGGGCAUGCCUGUCCGAGCGUCAUUUCAACCAUCAAGCCCCCGGGCUUGUGUUGGGGACCUGCGGCUGCCCGCAGGCCCUGAAAACCAGUGGCGGGCUCGCUGUCACACCGAGCGUAGUAGCAAUCACCUCGCUCAGGGCGUGCUGCGGGUUCCGGCCGUUAAACAGCCUUACAAAACCCAAGGUUGACCUCGGAUCAGGUAGGAAGACCCGCUGAACUUAAGC
rnacentral:misc_RNA from 1 species